GACGAACGCUGGCGGCGUGCUUAACACAUGCAAGUCGAACGAUGAAGCCUAGCUUGCUAGGUGGAUUAGUGGCGAACGGGUGAGUAAUACGUGAGUAACCUACCUUUAACUCUGGGAUAAGCCUGGGAAACUGGGUCUAAUACCGGAUACGACCAAUCUCCGCAUGGGGUGUCGGUGGAAAGCGUUAUGUAGUGGUUAUAGAUGGGCUCACGGCCUAUCAGCUUGUUGGUGAGGUAACGGCUCACCAAGGCGACGACGGGUAGCCGGCCUGAGAGGGUGACCGGCCACACUGGGACUGAGACACGGCCCAGACUCCUACGGGAGGCAGCAGUGGGGAAUAUUGCGCAAUGGGCGCAAGCCUGAUGCAGCGACGCCGCGUGAGGGAUGACGGCCUUCGGGUUGUAAACCUCUGUUAGCAGGGAAGAAGAGAGAUUGACGGUACCUGCAGAGAAAGCGCCGGCUAACUACGUGCCAGCAGCCGCGGUAAUACGUAGGGCGCGAGCGUUGUCCGGAAUUAUUGGGCGUAAAGAGCUUGUGGGCGGUUUGUCGCGUCUGCUGUGAAGGCCGGAGCUUAACUCCGUGUAUUGCAGUGGGUACGGGCAGACUAGAGUGCAGUAGGGGAGACUGGAAUUCCUGGUGUAGCGGUGGAAUGCGCAGAUAUCAGGAGGAACACCGAUGGCGAAGGCAGGUCUCUGGGCUGUAACUGACGCUGAGAAGCGAAAGCAUGGGGAGCGAACAGGAUUAGAUACCCUGGUAGUCCAUGCCGUAAACGUUGGGCACUAGGUGUGGGGGACAUUCCACGUUUUCCGCGCCGUAGCUAACGCAUUAAGUGCCCCGCCUGGGGAGUACGGCCGCAAGGCUAAAACUCAAAGAAAUUGACGGGGGCCCGCACAAGCGGCGGAGCAUGCGGAUUAAUUCGAUGCAACGCGAAGAACCUUACCAAGGCUUGACAUAUACUGGACCGCAUCAGAGAUGGUGUUUCCCUUCGGGGCUGGUAUACAGGUGGUGCAUGGUUGUCGUCAGCUCGUGUCGUGAGAUGUUGGGUUAAGUCCCGCAACGAGCGCAACCCUCGUUCUAUGUUGCCAGCACGUAAUGGUGGGGACUCAUAGGAGACUGCCGGGGUCAACUCGGAGGAAGGUGGGGAUGACGUCAAAUCAUCAUGCCCCUUAUGUCUUGGGCUUCACGCAUGCUACAAUGGCCGGUACAGAGGGUUGCGAUACUGUGAGGUGGAGCUAAUCCCUAAAAGCCGGUCUCAGUUCGGAUUGGGGUCUGCAACUCGACCCCAUGAAGUCGGAGUCGCUAGUAAUCGCAGAUCAGCAACGCUGCGGUGAAUACGUUCCCGGGCCU
rnacentral:rRNA from 1 species